GAUGAACGCUGGCGGCGUGCUUAACACAUGCAAGUCGAACGGAAAGGCCCAAGCUUGCUUGGGUACUCGAGUGGCGAACGGGUGAGUAACACGUGGGUGAUCUGCCCUGCACUUCGGGAUAAGCCUGGGAAACUGGGUCUAAUACCGGAUAGGACCACAUUUUGGAUGGUGUGGUGGAGAGUUUUUCGGUGUGGGAUGAGCUCGCGGCCUAUCAGCUUGUUGGUGGGGUAAUGGCCUACCAAGGCGUCGACGGGUAGCCGGCCUGAGAGGGUGUACGGCCACAUUGGGACUGAGAUACGGCCCAGACUCCUACGGGAGGCAGCAGUGGGGAAUAUUGCACAAUGGGCGCAAGCCUGAUGCAGCGACGCCGCGUGGGGGAUGACGGCCUUCGGGUUGUAAACUACUUUCGCUAGGGACGAAGCGCAAGUGACGGUACCUGGAGAAGAAGCACCGGCUAACUACGUG
rnacentral:rRNA from 1 species